UGGGGAAUAUUGCACAAUGGGCGCAAGCCUGAUGCAGCCAUGCCGCGUGUAUGAAGAAGGCCUUCGGGUUGUAAAGUACUUUCAGCGAGGAGGAAGGCGUUAAGGUUAAUAACCUUAGCGAUUGACGUUACUCGCAGAAGAAGCACCGGCUAACUCUGUGCCAGCAGCCGCGGUAAUACAGAGGGUGCAAGCGUUAAUCGGAAUUACUGGGCGUAAAGCGCGCGUAGGUGGUUCGUUAAGUUGGAUGUGAAAUCCCCGGGCUCAACCUGGGAACUGCAUUCAAAACUGGCAGGCUUGAGUCUUGUAGAGGGGGGUAGAAUUCCAGGUGUAGCGGUGAAAUGCGUAGAGAUCUGGAGGAAUACCGGUGGCGAAGGCGGCCCCCUGGACAAAGACUGACGCUCAGGUGCGAAAGCGUGGGGAGCAAACA
rnacentral:rRNA from 1 species